AUGGCUCCUGUCCUCCUGCUGCUCCUCUCUCACUUCCCAGGUUCCCUCUCCCAGCCUGUGCUGACUCAGCCGCCCUCCCUCUCUGCAUCUCUGGAAGCACCAGCCGCACUUCCCUGCAUCCUGAGCACUGGCGUCCAUGCUGAUUUCUAUUGGAUAUACUGGUACCAGCAUAAGCCAGGGAGCCCUCCCUGGUAUCUCCUGAGCCACUACCAAAAUGUACUUCAUGACCAGGGCUCCAGGGUCCCGAGCUGCUCCUCUGGAUUGAUGGAAGGCUGGUCCAAUAAAGGGCUUUUGCUCAUAUCUAAGCUCCAGUCUGAGGACGAGGCUGAC
rnacentral:lncRNA from 1 species